rnacentral:rRNA from 1 species
AUGGCUGUUGCAGCCCACGUACGGGCAAUAGUAGUACGUGGACGCGAGCAGGUGGCCGAGACGAGAUGCGAUGGUGUGGUCGGUGCAGCGUGGAUGGCUAGCAUUCCAUCCAGCAGGCCAGCUACAAUAAGCGUUCCACAAGGAAGCCCAAUAUCACGUGGAGGCCUAGUGCUUGGGCUAGAACGUGAGCAUAUUCCAGAAGCUCUGGACGGAGGUACUACUACCCAUAAAGUUUUUUCUAGCAUGCGAGAAGAUAUGCAAGGUAUACUCACGGAAGGCAAGCUAGAAAUUAGCAGCAACUGUGCAGGGCUUACGAGGAGCAGUUCCGAAGAGCCCAAAUCACCAGCAACAGGAACUUUGGCAAGUCCAGACGACAGUGUGCCCUCUUCGGUACCACGAGAACGAUGCGUGUUGGACAUAUCCUCAGAGGAAGCGCUUCGAAUAAAUUCGAUGAAGAUGAAGAGUAAAGGGCAACGAAGUUUGCACAUCGAGGAACCGGAAAUUUUUUGA